rnacentral:rRNA from 1 species
GACGGACGCUGGCGGCGUGCCUAAUACAUGCAAGUUGAGCGCUGAAGGUUGGUACUUGUACCUACUGGAUGAGCAGCGAACGGGUGAGUAACGCGUGGGGAAUCUGCCUUUGAGCGGGGGACAACAUUUGGAAACGAAUGCUAAUACCGCAUAAAAACUUUAAACACAAGUUUUAAGUUUGAAAGAUGCAAUUGCAUCACUCAAAGAUGAUCCCGCGUUGUAUUAGCUAGUUGGUGAGGUAAAGGCUCACCAAGGCGAUGAUACAUAGCCGACCUGAGAGGGUGAUCGGCCACAUUGGGACUGAGACACGGCCCAAACUCCUACGGGAGGCAGCAGUAGGGAAUAUUCGGCAAUGGACGAAAGUCUGACCGAGCAACGCCGCGUGAGUGAAGAAGGUUUUCGGAUCGUAAAACUCUGUUGGUAGAGAAGAACGUUGGUGAGAGUGGAAAGCUCAUCAAGUGACGGUAACUACCCAGAAAGGGACGGCUAACUACGUG